rnacentral:tRNA from 1 species
GCCCGGCUAGCUCAGUCGGUAGAGCAUGAGACUUUUAAUCUCAGGGUCGCGGGUUCGAGUCCCACGUUGGGCG